UGGGGAAUAUUGGACAAUGGGCGAAAGCCUGAUCCAGCCAUGCCGCGGGUGUGAAGAAGGUCUUCGGAUUGUAAAGCACUUUAAGUUGGGAGGAAGGGCAGUAAGCGAAUACCUUGCUGUUUUGACGUUACCGACAGAAUAAGCACCGGCUAACUCUGUGCCAGCAGCCGCGGUAAUACAGAGGGUGCAAGCGUUAAUCGGAAUUACUGGGCGUAAAGCGCGCGUAGGUGGUUCGUUAAGUUGAAUGUGAAAGCCCCGGGCUCAACCUGGGAACUGCAGCCAAAACUGGCGGGCUAGAGUAGGGCAGAGGGUGGUGGAAGUUCCUGUGUAGCGGUGAAAUGCGUAGAUAUAGGAAGGAACACCAGUGGCGAAGGCGACCACCUGGGCUCAUACUGACACUGAGGUGGGAAAGCGUGGGGAGCAAACAGG
rnacentral:rRNA from 1 species